rnacentral:rRNA from 13 species
AUUAUUUAGAUCGAGAAAAAGGAAAGAAAUCCAAACAAGACAUUAACAAGGAAAUUUAUCAAUUGAUUGGAAGCAAAGGUGGUCGAUUUUUACAAAAAUCAAAAAAGAAAACUGGCUCAAGUGCUGCUGCUGGUUGGGAAGAAAUUGAUAUUCAACGUGCCAUUAAUCGAAUCAGUUCCAGUUUUGGACAUAAACAUAUUGCAGAACGAGUCAAAAUUAGGGA